GUGCUCAUUUCGGCAGCACAUGUACUAAAAUUGAAACCAUACAGAGAUUAGCCUGGCCCUUGCGCAAGGAUGACACGCAGAUUCAUGAAGCGUUCCAUACUUUU
ensembl:snRNA U6 U6 spliceosomal RNA